rnacentral:rRNA from 1 species
ACGCUGGCGGCACGCCUAACACAUGCAAGUCGAACGAAGUAGCAAUACUUAGUGGCAGACGGGUGAGUAACAUGUAGGUAUCUGCCCUUUGGCCUGGAAUAACACGAGGAAACUUGUGCUAAUACCGGAUAAGUCUUUACAGAGAAAGCUUUAUGCACCAUUGGAUGAGCCUGCACUUGAUUAGUUUGUUGGUGGGGUAAUGGCCUACCAAGACUGUGAUCAAUAGCUGAUUUGAGAGGAUGAUCAGCCACAUUGGGACUGAGACACGGCCCAAACUCCUACGGGAGGCAGCAGUGGGGAAUCUUGCACAAUGGAGGAAACUCUGAUGCAGCGAUGCCGCGUGAGUGAAGAAGGCCCUUGGGUUGUAAAGCUCUUUCGUCGGGGAAGAAAAUGACUGUACCCGAAUAAGAAGGUCCGGCUAACUUCGUGCCAGCAGCCGCGGUAAUACGAAGGGACCUAGCGUAGUUCGGAAUUACUGGGCUUAAAGAGUUCGUAGGUGGUUGAAAUAGUUGGUGGUGAAAUCCCAGAGCUUAACUCUGGAACUGCCAUCAAAACUUUUCAGCUAGAGUAUGAUAGAGGGAAGCAGAAUUUCUAGUGUAGAGGUGAAAUUCGUAGAUAUUAGAAAGAAUACCAAAUGCGAAGGCAGCUUUCUGGAUCAUUACUGACACUGAGGAACGAAAGCAUGGGUAGCGAAGAGGAUUAGAUACCCUCGUAGUCCAUGCCGUAAACGAUGUGUGUUAGACGUUGGAAAUUUAUUUUCAGUGUCGCAGGGAAACCGAUAAACACACCGCCUGGGGAGUACGACCGCAAGGUUAAAACUCAAAUGAAUUGACGGGGACCCGCACAAGUAGUGGAGCAUGUGGUUUAAUUCGAAGAUACGCGCAGAACCUUACCAACACUUGACAUGUUCGUCGCGACUCUAAGAGAUUAGAGUUUUCGGUUCGGCCGGACGAAACACAGGUGCUGCAUGGCUGUCGUCAGCUCGUGUCGUGAGAUGUUGGGUUAAGUCCCGCAACGAGCGCAACCCUCACUUUUAGUUGCCAUCAUUAAGUUGGGCACUCUGAAAGAACUGCCAGUGAUAAGCUGGAGGAAGGUGGGGAUGACGUCAAGUCCUCAUGGCCCUUACGUGUUGGGCUACACACGUGCUACAAUGGUAUCUACAACAGGAAGCAAGACUGCGAAGUUAAGCAAAUCCCUAAAAGAUACCUCAGUUCGGAUUGCACUCUGCAACUCGAGUGCAUGAAGCUGGAAUUACUAGUAAUCGUGGAUCAGCGUGCCACGGUGAAUGCGUUCCCGGGUCUUGUACUCACCGCCCGUCA